UGGGGAAUAUUGGACAAUGGGCGCAAGCCUGAUCCAGCAAUGCCGCGUGUGUGAAGAAGGCCUUCGGGUUGUAAAGCACUUUUAUCAGGAGCGAAACGCUGUCGGCUAAUACCCGGCGGAACUGACGGUACCUGAGGAAUAAGCACCGGCUAACUUCGUGCCAGCAGCCGCGGUAAUACGAAGGGUGCAAGCGUUAAUCGGAAUUACUGGGCGUAAAGCGUGCGUAGGCGGUUUCUUAGGUCUGCUGUGAAAUCCCCGGGCUCAACCUGGGAAUGGCAGUGGAUACUGGGAGGCUAGAGUGUGUCAGAGGGUGGUGGAAUUCCCGGUGUAGCGGUGAAAUGCGUAGAGAUCGGGAGGAACAUCAGUGGCGAAGGCGGCCACCUGGGACAACACUGACGCUGAGGCACGAAAGCGUGGGGAGCAAACAGGAUUAGAUACCCUGGUAGUCCACGCCCUAAAAGCGAUGCGAACUGGAUGUUGGUCUCAACUCGGAGAUCAGUGUCGAAGCUAACGCGUUAAGUUCGCCGCCUGGGGAGUACGGUCGCAAGACUGAAACUC
rnacentral:rRNA from 1 species